rnacentral:rRNA from 1 species
UACGAAGGGGGCUAGCGUUGCUCGGAAUCACUGGGCGUAAAGCGCACGUAGGCGGAUCUUUAAGUCAGGGGUGAAAUCCUGGAGCUCAACUCCAGAACUGCCUUUGAUACUGGGGAUCUCGAGUCCGGGAGAGGUGAGUGGAACUCCGAGUGUAGAGGUGAAAUUGGUAGAUAUUCGGAAGAACACCAGUGGCGAAGGCGGCUCACUGGCCCGGUACUGACGCUGAGGUGCGAAAGCGUGGGGAGCAAACAGG